GAUGAACGCUAGCUACAGGCUUAACACAUGCAAGUCGCGGGGCAGCAUGGGGGUUGCUUGCAAUCCCCGAUGGCGACCGGCGCACGGGUGAGUAACGCGUAUUCAACCUGCCCUUCACCACGGGAUAACCCGGCGAAAGUCGGACUAAUACCGUAUGUUGUCCAUUGACGGCAUCCGAUUUGGACGAAAGGCUUGGCGGUGAGGGAUGGGGAUGCGUCCGAUUAGCCAGACGGCGGGGUAACGGCCCACCGUGGCUACGAUCGGUAUGGGUUCUGAGAGGAAGGUCCCCCACACUGGAACUGAGACACGGUCCAGACUCCUACGGGAGGCAGCAGUGAGGAAUAUUAGUCAAUGGGCGUAAGCCUGAACCAGCCAAGUAGCGUGCAGGAUGACGGCCCUAUGGGUUGUAAACUGCUUUUAUGCGGGGAUAAAGUGGCCCACGUGUGGGCUUUUGCAGGUACCGCAUGAAUAAGGACCGGCUAAUUCCGUG
rnacentral:rRNA from 1 species